AUAGUAAAAAAUUCCCAGCAAAUCAAGAGGCACGUGAUACAAAUUAUACAAAAUCCUUGAAAGAACCAUUCCAGUAUAGGAAAUGCAUAGUGUUUUAAAGAAGGAAGAAAGUGAAAUUAUGGACUCAAAAGCCAGGAGAUGCAUGUAGAAAAUGCAGCAGUGGAAGAGAAUAUACACCAAAUGAUGGACAUUGAAAAAAUAACCUCUACUAAAAAGCCAACGUGUCUUUGCCUUGGUGAUGUUACCAGAGCUAGCUCUAACUGAAUAAACUUCUUUUAUUUCCAGAAUAUGAAAGUUUUACAGGCAUUAUGAGCUUCUGACACCUCUCUGCCAAGUCUGACCUUUCUUGAAUGCAUCAUGGGCAAGUACUGGAAGCAGAGAAUGUGACUUUGUCCCUAUAUUAAAGCAAGAAAUACGGAAACAUCUAUUCAUCUGUGGCCAUUCAUCACUGUGUGUUUGAAUCACCUUAUCUGUCCUCACACAGCAGGAAAACAAUAUUUUUGUCUUAGAGUCAUCAUUAAAUGUGACCAAUUUCUCAAACAUAUUGUUAUAUCCAAGAAAGACAUUGACAUAGUAAAUUGUGAUGAUUGACUGAUGAGGAAUACUAAAAUAAUCAAAGGUCUUUGGUUUAGGUAAUUAGUUUUAUGGGAGGUCAUCAGAGAAGUCUGAAAAUGUCCACUGAGGAAUUUUAAGGAAGAAGGAUGUUCCAGUUUCUGCAAGUAGGCAAACACAACAGGGAGUAAAAACAACAAAAUUGUGAAAAAGAAAAUUCAGAACCAACACUUCUUUCCAAAAGUGAGGACUAUUGAACUUUGGGAAUUGUCUCUCAAUGAAAAGUAAUGAAGUUUCCAUUACUCUGGCCAACUUGCAUUAGUCGAGCCAGUCCAAUUUUACAAUGGGGAAUAAUUCCAAUGGCAGGGAGAUGGACUAGAUGACUCUAAACACUUUUUCUAUCCCUAGUUUUUACAGCACAAAGGAUAUAAUCUUGAAAUACAAAUUGCAAUGGGAAAUGUGUUCUUCCUAAUGGUUACAGAUAAAGGCAAUUUUCAGACAACAUCCUCUCCCUUUUGUGUCCCUGCUCUAAAUGCACAUUAUCACAUAGGUUUUUAAGAUAAACUAGUAACAUACACUUUA